rnacentral:misc_RNA from 1 species
UCUCCGUAGGUGAACCUGCGGAAGGAUCAUUCAUAAUAAGUGUUUUAUGGCACUUUUUUAAAUCCAUAUCCACCUUGUGUGCAAUGUCAGGGUUGAUUUUUCUCUCGAGAGGAUCAACCCCAAACAUCAACUAUAUCUCAACUCUUUGUCUGAAAAAUAUUAUGAAUAAAACAAUUCAAAAUACAACUUUCAACAACGGAUCUCUUGGCUCUG